UACAGAGACUGCAAGCGUUAUUCGGAUUCACUGGGCGUAAAGGGUGCGCAGGCGGCCAAGUGUGUUAGGCGUGAAAGCCCGGGGCUUAACCCCGGAAUUGCACCUAAAACUACAUGGCUAGAGCAUCGGAGAGGGUAGCGGAAUUCACGGUGUAGCAGUGAAAUGCGUAGAUAUCGUGAGGAACACCAGAGGCGAAGGCGGCUACCUGGACAAUUGCUGACGCUCAGGCACGAAAGCGUGGGGAGCAAAAGGG
rnacentral:rRNA from 1 species